UUAAGUGUUCAUAUUUGUAUUGGAAAGUUUUGUUGGAAUAUUCUGGCAAAUAGUUUCAGGAGGAUAGGGACUUUACCUAUCAGUUGAAAAUGGUGCUCAGUUGCCAUCUGACUCUGGUGGUAGCAAGAAACCAGGAGAACAACAACCAUUUGUCUGGGAGAAGGGCCACCCCUGGGCCAGAGAAAUAGAAUUCUGUCUCAAGUGAAGCCAUCUUUCAAAUUAUUAUCUGAAAUUUCAAAUUUCAAAUUAUUAUCAAAUUUGAAAGCCAUCUUUCAAAUUAUUAUCUGAGGAAAUCAUGUGGAAGACUUGUGAUCAGUUAACAUUAGCUACAUGUUCUUGUUCUCAUAAAAAGCAAGAGCAGCGAGGAUUGGAUUCAGAGACUGAUCCAAGACAUGGUAACCUCUUGGAAAUGGAGAAUCAGUGAUUGUUCACUUUACUGAGAUGGAAAACACAAGAGGUAAGAUGCCAACUCAUGGAUAAAAUAGUGCUUCCAAGCUACCCUCUUUGUAAGGAGAAGAACCAUGACUUGAACCCACAUGGUACUGAGUACAAGGCAACAUGAAGCUGGAUCCAAAUGGAAAGCCAAUCAGUUGCUGCUCACCUAUCAGAAGGACCUGAACAGAAAUAGCUCUCAAGGAAGAAAUAUUUUAGCAAUAGAAUCCAGUCAUACUUGAGCUGUGUAUCCUGGAAGAAGAAACUCUGAAAUUGGGAGAUCUGAGUGCGAGUUUCAGAGGAAACUUCAAGGACCCUGUGAAUCAAACAAAACCACUGAAGGGCUUGAGUGGCCUUCAUUCUUUUCUCCUGGGAAGCAGUAGCUUGCAUAUUGGCCAUUUGGAAAGAUAUGCCAUGAAUCCAGUGGGUGCAAAAGAACAGUCCUCAAGCUGACAUGUAGUCCUGCCCAACUCAGCAGAAGAGGGUUGGAGUAAAACUCCAGACUGGUGGACUAAGUUUGAAUUUUACUCCAAAAUCAAAUCUCUUCUUGGGAAACCUCUGAGACAGUUUCUGCGGGUCAAGAAUCUGGGCACAGCUCAGCUGGAUACCCCUGGCUCAGGAUUUCUCAUGAGGCUGCAAUCAGGGUGUCCACAGGCUUGCAGUCCCUUCAAGGCUUGACUGGGAUAAGAUCUGCUUCCAAACUCACUGGCAGCUGGCUUCUCCAGAGAAAGCUAUCUAAAGAGGGAGGAAGAAGAAGAGCAUAGGAGAGAAACCAGCAGAGAAACCAGUCUUUUUGUAACCUAUUCUUGGAAGUGACAUCCAGUCAUUUCUGUCAUAUUCUAUUUGUUAGAAGCAAGUCAGUAAAGACAAGCUCACACCCAAGGGAAGGGGGAUACAUAGAACGAGUAUCAAAAGUAGGUAUCAUUGUAGGGGUCCAUUUUAUAGGUUGCCUAACACAGAUGUAGCUAUCACAUUUAAAAUUAUUUCUCUUUUGAAAAUUGACUCAACAGCAUUCAGUAGUUAAUAAGAUUUCUAUUUUAUGAUUGGAGUAACCAGAAUCUGUCUUGCACCUGGUGUCAGUAGACAUGGUUCUCGUCCUUCCCAUGUGCUGCCCAGUUGUGGCACCUCAGGCUUUUAAAUCCUGAUUCAUAGUUUCCUUGUCAAAAAAGAGAGUCCAUUUGAUUAUACUUUUUAAGAUAUCUUCUAGUUUGGAUAUUCUUUCGUAGCAGAUAAUCAAAUUCUGUUCUAAGGGGGUCCAGCUCUCUUUUCUUUAGACAAGAGUUUCUCAACCUCAGCACUAUUGACAUUUUGGAUCUGAGAAUUCUUUGUUGUUGGCAGGGAAACUCUCUUAGACAUUUUAGGAUGUUCAACAUCACCCCUGGCCUCUACUCACUAGAUGGCAGGAAUAGCUCCGUAUUUGUGGCAAUAAAAAAUGUCUCUGACUUUGAGGACCACAGAUCUAAGCAGAGCUAUAGUUUAUCUAACAUACAAAAAUUAUUUCCUCUUCUGAAACACCUUGGUUUCUCUUCUUAAGGAAAAAAUAUAUAAAUUAAUAAAUCUACAGGUGUUAAUAACUUACAAGCAUUUGUAAUUUAAAAGAAAAGUGCUCUUUUGAGGUAGAAAUUUAAGACCUAGAGAAUAAUAUUUCUGGACUGUGUAAAAGGGAGGGUGGGGGGAGGGUAGGACACUAUUCAUGUGAAGCACGAAUCAUACUUAUUCUACAGAGAAAAUGAAACUGCUAGAGAAAAAUUUCCAGAAGCCACAGAAGUGAUUGUGUGGAAGUAUUCAUGAGUCCUGUGAUAGCUAAUUUUAUGUGUCAACUUGACCGGCCCAUGCAGUGCCCAAACGUUUGGUCAGACAUUAUUUUGGGUAUGUCUAUGAGCAUAUUUCUGGGUGAGAUUAACAUUUGGAUCUAUUUGGGUGAGCAGACUGAUUAAUCAGAUUGCCCUCUCUAAUGUGAGUUGGCCUCAUCUAAUCAAUUGAAGAUCUGAAUAGACCAAAAAAGGGUGAGUUAAGAGGGAAUUUUGCCUACUUGAGUGAUUGAGCUGGGCCACUGGGCAGCCCUUGGGCUGGAAAUUAUGCCAUUGCCUUGCCUCUCUUUGUUCUCAGGCCUUCAGACUCAGACUGGAACUGUACUACCAGCCUGCUUACCAUAGAUCCUUAGUCUCAGUUUUCAUAAUAAAAUGAGCAAUUCUUUAUGUUAAAUAUCUGUCUUUCUCAACCUAUGUAUGUGUGCAUGUACAUGGGUGUGUGUGUGUGUGUGUGUGUGUGUGUGUGUGUGUGAAUUUUACUGGUUCUAUUUCUUUGGAGAAUCCUAAUACAAGUCCUGGGGAAUUUAGAAUAAGAGAAAAGAUGGUCAGGGGAAGACUUCUGGGGAAAAGACUUGAAAAGAGGAUGGAAGGGAGAAUUUCAGACAAGUCACAACUUUUCUAAGCAUUUUCAACCCCUGGACUGGAAAUUAUGGAAAUAUAUUUCCAUAUAAUGGAAAUAUAUUGCAUUAUAUGUUCCAUUGUAACACUUAAGAAAUUUCUAUUUGUCACAGCUUCCUCCUACUGCCAUCCUCAACUCCCAAGCACCAUUGACAAGGAGUCUCUCCUUGACCAAACUUUAUUAAAGCUCUUCAAGCCUUCUUUGUGAGAGUGCCUUCCUUGGCCCCCAUCUUUGACCUGUUUGAGUUCAGUUUUAGCAGAGCAUCCUGCCAAGUCAGUUUAAGAGCAUCCUUCUUCCCAAUGACAUCCAAUCAAGUUAUUUUCCUCUGCCCCUUAUCUAAUCAAGCUCUGCUUCCCCUACCCCACUCUUGAUACCUAACCAGUUUCCUCUCAGUAAUUUUGCAUCCCUCCCUCACCCUGGUCACUGGCCAUAAAUCCCUACUGGGUCCUGUUAUAUUCGAGUUGAGUUCAAUCUAUCUCUACUAUUGCAGUAGUCUAUCCCUUAUUACAAGAGUCUUGAGUAAAGUCUUCCUUGCCAUUUUUGACUAGUGUCUGGUGCAAUUUUUGUUUUAUUUUAUACUGCAAUGCAAUGACAUCUCCAGUAAAUAAAAAUCACAGGGGACAGAUUAAGACUAGAUUCUUAGACAUUUCUUCAAUUGGAGUCAAACUGCGAUUUUAUUUUUUUUUCUACUCAGGAUGACCAUGUACAAGUUACCUAGGUAUUUUUAAAAAUAUUUUAUUUGUUUAUUUUAGAGAUCGUUCACAAGUGGAGGGAAGGGCAGAGGGAGAGAAUCUCAAGCAGACUCUGCCCUGAAUGUGGAGCACCAUGUGGGGCUUGAUCUCAUCACCCUGAGAUCGUGACCUGAACUAAAAAUCAAGAGUCGGAUGCUUAACUGACUGAGCCACUCAGGUGCCCCAACCUAGGUAUGUUUUAAAGCUACACCUUCCUGUCAAGAAUUGGUCCAUAUGAAGGGAAUAUAAAUUAAUUUUAUACUUAAUUAUGUCAAUAUAAACCUAGUGAUGAAAUCCUCUUUGGUAAAGCCCAAAGACCAUAUUGUAUGUUUAAGAAUUAUGCUGUUUUUAGAUUAUAUUUCAUUUUCUGAGUUAUCCAGAUUGUCAGUUCUCUCCAUUCAUUCAAAUGUAGUUAGAUACAGGAAGCAAUAUGAGAGUCAAGAGAAAUCAGUCCAAAUACUGACCCUGCCACUUAUUGUUUUAUAUUGGAAAAAACAACUUUGUGCUUUAGGCUAGUGGUUUAGAUUUGUAGCUAAGAGUUGGAGGUCUAAACUUAAAACCACGUUAAACCUCAUCUUCAACAUAUAUUAGCUCUGUGACCUUGGGCAAGUUACUUAACUUCCCUGUUUCUGUAUUUUUCUUCUUGGAAUGAGGAUUAUAAUAGUGCCCAUCUCUUGGGAAGUUCUUUGGAAGGUUAAAUCAGAUGAUAAAUGUAAAAUUUGUAGUAUAAUAGCUAGAAAAAUCUUAAUAAAUAUUGAUAGCUGAAAGGUACAUUGGGCUAGGUGAUCUUGAAGUCUUCUUCAUUUUCUAAAUUUCUAUAAAUUUUGUAAGUUACAUAGGCAUUCAAAAUAGGCUGCACAUCAGGGCCAGAGUUAAGAAUAGAUAAUAGAUAAUGAAAGAAUGAAUAUAAAUUUCUUUUUAGUUGGCAAAUUUGAAUACCCCAGGAUUCAACAGAUUGAGAAUAAGGACAUAUUUGCUAUUCAUUGUCUGUGUUUUUAGAUUUAGAUCAAUGUCUGCCACUUGAUAUAGAUAUAUAUAUAUAUAGUAUCUACUGGGAAGGGAGAAUGGAGAGUAUAUAGCAUAUGGAGCAAUUAAGAACAGGUUACAGGUCAAACUUCCUGUCUUGGUCCCUAGUUCUUUUACUUAUUUACUUGUAUAAAUAGCAAUCCAGUUAUCUCUUCAAGAUUCCAUUAUCUCAUUUGUCAUAUGGUGAUUGUUACAAGCUUUACUUGAUACAAAUGUCAAGCACAUGGCCCAUGAUCUGCCACAUAUAAGUGUUUAAUAGAUAGCCAUAUAUGAUCUAAAUUUGAUAUUGAGGUUCAGGUACAAGAUACAGCUAAACAUUCGUUUCUCCAUAUACUGGAGAUAAUGUAACCAUUAGCACCCCUGAGGCUUAUCUCCUUGUCUCCCUGUUAUUCCUCUCUGAGCUUGGUGUCUAUGCUGGAACGAUCACAUUACUUGGAUCCUUAGCCUUCUGUCUUCUAAUUCUGAGAGCCAAAAAUCAGACCUUUAAUUCCCCAGAUGAAGACAUGCCAAAGGCCUUUUAAAACAAUUAAUAUAUAUGCUUGUCCCUAGCAGCCUGGGAGCCUUGUGGUUUUGCUGACUUCCCUAACAUAAUAUUGAUUAAUCUUUGAUGUAACAGAGAAACAAUCUUUAAUACACAUUCAUGCUUUCAUUAUUAAUGAAAUCCUACCAGUUCAUGAUGGCAUCUUGGGCAGCUUUUUUAUCUGGUGGAAAUGACUGCAAAAAAUACCUGACACAGUUCCUGAUACAGAACUCAGUUAAAUCAUUUUACAUUUGAAUGCUGCCAGAGAGAGUAACAUUCUCUAAAAACUGUAAGCAAAGUGAAACGGUAUCAAAAAAUAUAUCUCCAGGAAGCAAUAAAUGCCUCCAUUCCCAUUUAUUAUUUUCCCACAAACACUUAUCACAGUGCUCCUUAGGUGUCUGGCACUGUCCUAGCAUGUUACAAAUAGUAUAUUCACUUAUUUAAUCCUCAUAUAACUACUGUGAUAUAGAUAGAUACAGCCAUUAUGUCUCUUACAUGGAUGGCAAAAUUAAAUUACAGAGAGAUUAGGUAACCUGUCCAAGGUUACACAGUUAAUCUUGUUAUAACCCGUACUUGAACCCAAGUAUCUGGCUCAAGUGUUCUUUUUUUUUUUUUUU